rnacentral:rRNA from 1 species
GUUUCCGUAGGUGAACCUGCGGAAGGAUCAUUGUCGAGACCUGCAAAGCAGAACGACCCGYGAACCCGUCUUAACACCGGGGGNCNCGGGNCUNGUGCCCGUGCGCUCCCGCCCGCGUGCCGCGUUGGGCGUCCGCCCCUCGCGGNGCGUUAACGAACCCCGGCGGAAUCGCGUCAAGGAAACCCGAACGAGAGAGCUCGCCCCCGUCGCCCCGGACACGGUGUGCGCGGGACGCGUGGCCUUCUUUCAUUAUCUAUAACGACUCUCGGCAACGGAUAUCUCGGCUCUCGCAUCGAUGAAGAACGUAGCGAAAUGCGAUACUUGGUGUGAAUUGCAGAAUCCCGUGAACCAUCGAGUCUUUGAACGCAAGUUGCGCCCCAAGCCAUUAGGCCGAGGGCACGUCUGCCUGGGUGUCACGCAUCGUUGCCCCCAUCCACGGAUCCCGCUGCGGUUAUCGUGGNUGUGGGCGGAGAAUGGCCUCCCGUGCGCCGACGCGCGCGGUUGGCCCAAAGAUCGAGUUCUCGGUGACGCUGCCCGCGACGAUCGGUGGCGUUUGAAACACAACCUAGUGAUCCCGUCGNGCGGCGGCGUCCUCCCGGCCACGGACUCGCGGACCCUCGAGAGCGGGCGAAGGCCCGUUCGCAUCGCGACCC